UACGGAGGAUGCGAGCGUUAUCCGGAUUUAUUGGGUUUAAAGGGUGCGUAGGCGGGCUUUUAAGUCAGCGGUAAAAAUUCGGGGCUCAACCCCGUCCGGCCGUUGAAACUGGGGGUCUUGAGUGGGCGAGAAGAAGGCGGAAUGCGUGGAGUAGCGGUGAAAUGCAUAGAUAUCACGCAGAACCCCGAUUGCGAAGGCAGCCUUCCGGCGCCCUACUGACGCUGAGGCACGAAAGUGCGGGGAUCGAACAGG
rnacentral:rRNA from 1 species